CAAUUGACGCGGGUUGCGCGUGAUGAGCACGGUCCACACUUCCUCCAGUGCGGCUGAAGAGAAGAGGCAGAACAGGAAGGGCGAAGAGAAGCAGAACAGGAAGGAAUCUUCCCAAGACUCUCCCCCAUCGUCUCUCCGGUUGUGACAUUUCGCCUGCGACCAUGUGGAAUCCUCCCGCAGGUAAUCAAAGUGCUCCUUCGAUGCCAGGAUACCCCCCAACAAAUGCACACAACUCCCCAUACCCGACAUACGUGCAGGGUUAUCCCCAGCCAGGAUACCCUGCCAACCAUGCAUAUUCCCCAAAUACCUAUGUUGGCACAGCACCCGCUCCGGGAGCACAUCCCCAAGUGCAAAUGUUUGGGCAUCCAGGUCAAAGCAACGCAGUCUGUUACCCACAACCCCAUGCAAACCACCACACACAAGCCCCAGUAUAUCACCAUGUGCAUCAACAUGUGCCAGCAGUUGGCCACCAUCACCACGGGGCCCAUAGUGGAGGGCUUUCUGGGCUCCUCCACACGGUCGCCCAUGGGCUUGGGGUCAACCACGGGCACCAUGGCCACGAAGUCGUCCACCAUGGGCACGAAGUCGUCCACCAUGGCCAUGAAGUCCACCAUGUGCAUGAAGUCCACCAUGGGCACGGCCACCACGGGCACGGCCAUCACGGGCACGGCCACCACGGACACGGCCACCACGGACACGGCCACCACGGGCACGGGCACGGGCCACUGAAGUAAAAAUUCACCAGCGUACCUCCAGCUGUGACUGACCGAGGCAUGCAUGGGCAAUAUUCUCAGGUGGCAAGGAGCAGCACCCCCCCACCUCCCAAGAUCUCGCGUCGCUGUGGAGCCGUGUCCAAGCUUCUGUGGGAGCAGCCGCUCCUUCACAUCCCUACUCAUUCUGUCUGAUCAGUGACUCCUUCGGGCUGGACCAUGCAACCGUCGCAAUCAUCACAACUAUCCCCAGUGACAUCGCAACAUCCCGCAGAACCAUCAUCAUCGCCCAGGAGUGUGCAUGGUCGCCUCACCGUACAAUGAAAAUUCACUAUUUUAACAGCCCUGGUUUUUCCGAAACGAGUAUGCUGCCAAUGUUUUGCCACAAACUAAUGUCUAAAAAGCACACCACCUCUGCAGUUCGUCACGUUUUCUCAAAAAUGGCCACUCAAGACAAAAGGAAUGCAAUGUACUUCCGUAAUUGUUGAUGGUGUUUUGCAUAUGCACAAAGCCUUUGUGCUCUUGCACAUUCUUGUAUCCUGUUUGAAACAAGAUUUGCUGGUCUGCGCUUGUUCGUUAUGGUUUUUUGUCGUCAUUUGCAGACCUGAGAAAUAUACCGUAUCACCAAA